GUCUACAGCCAUGCCACCCUGAACAUGCCCAAUCCUGUCUGAUCUCGGAAGCUAAGCAGGGUUGGGCCUAGUUAGUACUUGGAUGGGAGACCACCUAGGAAGACUGGGUGCUGUAGGGC
rnacentral:rRNA from 1 species